rnacentral:lncRNA from 1 species
GUCACUCUCUUAAUCAGUUACAAAAGUGCUGGGUUUAUACAUUAAUAAUUCUUCAGUUGAUGGAAGGACUUUGCUGUCAGAACACAUUCUUUCAGCUCUCACUGAACUGCUGGACCGGUCCUCAGUUGGCUGGAUGUCUCUAUUUUGGUAGAAAGUUAUUUUUUUCAAUAACUAUCCUAUACUAAUAAAUGUGAAUAAUAUGCUUUAUUAUUCCUGUGGCAAGGCUGCAGUGGCCCACAUGGGUGGUUGGCGAAAUGAAUGUCAUACUGCAGACCUGGUCAGGAAGGCUGCUGCUCCUGAGACAAGGAAGGUGCUGCCUGGUGGGGAAGUAACCGAAGUCAGAUGCUUGCUCCAGGCUGCCUGGUCUCAGCUGAGUGUGUCUUCUCCUCUUUGUAGUGUUACCCUGGACCACAGCCAACCACAAGCUCUAUGGAGGGGAAGAUUUCCCAUGAGGCCUGCUCUCAAGGCUGGCAGGUGAUGCUGACUUGGCAUUCAGCUUUCGGUUUGAGUUGUCAACCAAAUGUGGUUUGGUUCUCCUCCAGAGAGACUCCACCUGGGGAGUUCUCACUGCAUGUCUGCUGAAUUCCAAGAAGAAGGCUUCCUAAAAUGAAUGGCGAAAGCUUCUGAACUCUUCAAGUCCAUUUUCAGAAGUUACACAGUGCCAUUUCUGCUACUCUGUGUUGAUGAAAAUAAUCCACAGGAAAAAACUCAGUUUCUAGGAGAGGGAAAAUAGCCUCGAUUCUCAAUGAGACAAAUGGGUAAGACUUUGCAGCUAUCUUAUAUGCCCUACUUUCUCAUAUGUCUUCUUGACAAAAACAAAAUAUGUCAGUGGUAACUCAAGAGACCAUUUCCUUUCUUUUAAUCACAAAGUUCAACAAGUUAUACAUAGUUAACAUUACCACAUUUUGACAAUGCUAACUAUACAUUUUUUAUAUUUUAUACAUCAAGAAACAUGAUCAACAGUAUUCUACAUUUAAAACUCCUAGCAUAUUAUUUUUCUUUAUAUGAGGAUGCAGCUUCAAUAGUGGUUUAGAUUAAAUAUUAAAACGAGGGAAUUUUAUGGCAUACUUAGCAUUACUUAUGCUCUUUUCAAACUAUGAAAGUUUAGGAUUUUACUUUGUUCUAUGCUCAAUGUUGUUAUGCUUGAAUGUGAGUGGCAUGACUCUGCUACAAUAAAACCUUUGACAGAUGAAAAAAGAAUGACCA